CUUGGUUGAUCCUACCAGUACGAUAUGCUUGUCUCAAAGAUUAUGCCAUACAUGUCUAAGUACACAGGGCCAGUACAGUGAACUGCGAAUGGUCAUUAAAUCCAGUAUGGUUCUUUUGAUCGCUCGUCUCUCCUACUUUGAAAACUGUGGUAAUCAAGAGAAUGCAUGCCGAAGGGCGCUGACCCCCUCGUGGGGAAGAUGCGUGUAUCAGAUCAAAACCAACCGGUCAGCCCCUCUGGCCCCGGCCAGGGGUCGGGUGCCACCAGCUUUGGGACUCUAGAUAGCCUCGGCCAAUCGCACCCCCCCGUGGCAGCGACGACCCAUUAGAACGUCGCCCUAUCAACUUGAUGGUAUCGCUGUGCCUACCAUGUGACCACGGGUUGAGGGAAUCAGGUUCAUUCGUAGAGGGAGCCUGAGAAAUGGCUACCCAAUUCAAGGAAGGCAGCAGGCAUGCAAAUUACCCACUCCCGACCCAAGGAGUAGUGAUGAAACAUACCAAUACAGACUCUUUCGAGGUCCUGUAAUUGGAAUGAGUCCACUUAAUCCUUUACGAAGAUCCAUUGGAGGCAAGUCUAGUGAGCAGCCGCGUAAUUCCAGUCCCAUAGCAUAUGUUAAAGUUGCUGCAGUUAAAAAGCUCCUAGUGGAUCUUGGGAGCGGGCGGGCCGGUCCGCCAGGACGCGAGCCACCCUGUCCCGCCCCUUCCUCUUGGCGCCCCCUCGGUGCUCUUAGCUGAGUGUCCCGCGGCCAAAGCAUUUACUUUGAAAAAUUAGAGUGUUUAAGGUCCGAGCCGCUGGAUACCGCAGCUAGGAAUAAUGGAAUAGGACCGCGGUUCUAUUUUGUUGGUUUUCAGAACGAGGCCAGGAUUAAGAGGACGGCGGGGCAUUCGUAUUGUGCCGCUAGAGUGAAAUUCUUGGACUGGCGCAGUUCAGACCAGAGUGAAAGCAUUUGCCAGAAUGUUUUCAUUAAUCAAGAACAAGCCGGAGGUUCGAAGACGAUCAGAUACCGUGUAGUUCCGACAUAACGAUGCGACUGCGAUGUGGCGGCGUUAUUCCAUGACCCGCUGGGCAGCUUCCAAAAACCAGUCUUUGGGUUUUUAGUUCCGGGGGGAGUAUGUUGCAAGCUGAAACUUAAAGGAAUUGGUGGAAGGCACCCAGGAGUGGAGCCUGGGCUUAUUUGACUCAACAUGGGAAAAAUCACCGGCCCGGACAUGGACCGGAUUGACAGAUUGAUAGCUGUUCUCUGUUCCAUGGGUGGUGGUGCAUGGCCUUAGUUGGUGGAGUGAUUUGUUGGUUAAUUCCGAUAACCAAUGAGACUCUGGGCAUGCUAACUAGUUACGUGACCCGAGCGGUCGGCGUCCCCAACUUCUUAGAGGGACAAGUGGCCUUCAGCCAUCCGAAAUUGAGCAAUAACAGUCUGUGAUGCCCUUAGAUGUCCGGGACUGCACGCGCGCUACACUGACUGCUCAGCAUAUGCCUACCCUACGGGCAGAGGCGGGUAACCUGUUGAACCCCAUUCGUGAUGGGGAUGGGGGAUUGCCAGUUAUUCCCCAUGAAGGAGGAAUUUCCAGUAAGUUCGGGUCAUAAUGCCCUGAAGUCCCUGCCCUAUGUACACACCGCCGUCUCUACUACUGAUAGAUGGUUUAGUGAGGUCUCGGUCGGCCCCGCCGGGUCAGCCCACUGCCCUGGUGGAGCGCUGAGAAGACAGUCAAACUUGACUAUCUAAGGAAGUAAAAGUCGUAACAAAGUUUCAGUAGGUGAACCUGCGGAGG
rnacentral:rRNA from 1 species